UACAGAGGUGGCAAGCGUUGUUCGGAAUUACUGGGCGUAAAGGGCGCGUAGGCGGUUCGUUAAGUCCUGUGUGAAAUCCCCCGGCUCAACUGGGGAACUGCACAGGAAACUAGCGGGCUUGAGUUCGGGAGAGGGAAGCGGAAUUCCAGGUGUAGCGGUGAAAUGCGUAGAUAUCUGGAGGAACACCGGUGGCGAAGGCGGCAUCCUGGACCGGUAUUGACGCUGAGGCGCGAAAGCUAGGGGAGCAAACGGG
rnacentral:rRNA from 1 species